UACGUAGGCAGCGAGCGUUGUUCGGAGUUACUGGGCGUAAAGGGUGUGUAGGCGGUUGUUUAAGUUUGGUGUGAAAUCUCCCGGCUUAACCGGGGAACUGCGUCUGAUACUGGAUGGCUAGAGAUUGGGAGAGGGAUGCGGAAUUCCAGGUGUAGCGGUGAAAUGCGUAGAUAUCUGGAGGAACACCGGUGGCGAAGGCGGCAUCCUGGACCAAUACUGACGCUGAGGAGCGAAAGCCAGGGGAGCAAACGGG
rnacentral:rRNA from 1 species